AAAAAAUAAUAACAAAGCUUAACGUUAUAUAUUAGCUUAAUUUACAAGUAAUUGACUACAAAUAAAACAACGGUUCUAAACAUCUGGAGUGUGAAAAUAUGUUUUGAUGCCGAACAAAUUUUAUUAAAUGUUUCUUUAUUUAACUUUGGAUAAGGUUUGGCGUUCAGUUAUUCAAUAAAGGUGGUGGAUUUAUUCCAAAAAGUAUGUAACGGCGGGGGAAAAAACGGGCAAAAGAAAUCAGGACAAGAAAGUGUACAGUGCACCUUAAGAAAGCCCUGGGCUGGAUGUGAUUGGCAUAGACAUUAUUCUAUCCUCGAUACCCCUGCCGUUCCGGGAUUACUGUGACGUCACGCUGAUACCCGUGCAUGGGUGAAAGCUAAAGAACUAUAGAGCCACAAAUAAUAGCACAAGCAGAGUCCAUAACUUGGAAGACUUACUUAUCCUUUAAGCCUCCUUCAGCCAACACAACAACAUUUUUUUCCCACUUAAUGACGCUUAAUUUCAUUUCUUAUCGGAUCCUGUAGGGGAUUAUUCAUUCAUAUAAAACAAUCUGCAGCUGCUGCCACUCCAAACUCUCCCUCCUUUUGACUGAAGUCAUCUAUUAUUGAGCGAAAGGCCGUGCGUGGAAAGUGUGUGCAAGACGAUGGAUUUGAAGUAGAAUUGGUUGCAAUCGAUCAAGGGUGAAGAAUAUUCCUGAUGGUAACAAAGGAAGCAGCGAUGUCUUUCUCGCAGUUUGGAUAUCCUUACAAUGCAACUUCACAAUUUUUCGUGUCGGCAAACCCCAGUACGACUUGCUGCGAUUCGAUUUCCAGGUCGGUAUCUGACGGGACAGGCAGCUCUCAGACCGCCGCAGCCGCAGCCGCCGCCUCCUUCUGCUGCCCCUCCUACGAGAACCGGCUCCUGGCGAGCAGCCGGACGGAGCUGAACGCAGCGCUGGGGAUGUACGGCUCUCCUUACGCCGCUGCGGCCGCAGCCAGCCAGAACUACGCCAACUACUUCCCCUACAGCACCGACCCAUCCGCUAUCUACUCCACUCUGAAUCCACAGUAUGACAUUAAGGACAGCACAGGCACUUUACACUCUGGCAUUACUCAAACCGCUGCCUACUAUCCUUAUGAUCACUCACUGGGACAGUAUCAGUAUGACAGAUAUGGGACGGUGGACUUUAAUGGCACAGCUCGCAGAAAGAAUGCCACACGUGAAACCACCAGCACACUAAAAACAUGGCUGUAUGAACACCGCAAGAACCCCUACCCGACUAAGGGAGAGAAGAUCAUGCUGGCCAUCAUCACCAAGAUGACCCUCACCCAGGUGUCCACGUGGUUCGCCAAUGCCAGGAGACGGCUAAAGAAGGAGAACAAGAUGACCUGGUCACCAAAGAAUAAGGUUAACGAUGACAGAAAGGAGGACUUUAAUAAGAGUGACCAGGACUGUGUCACCAAAGAUUCCAGUGAUUGCAAGGAAGAGAAAGAGUUGCACCUGAGUGACCUGGAGGACAUGGAUGAGGACGACUGUGACAAGCUGGACAGCGACUGUGAAAAGGUGGCAGCAGAUGAGCAGGACCUCCAGAGAUCCAUGGUUGCAUCUGGAGCUCCCCUGAAAAGAGACUGCAGCUCCGACCUUCACUUGAGCUUAACAAACAGCUUCCACACUUUCCCCUGCAGUAUCAAAGGUGUCACCGCCCUCCCGCAUCUCCCGUCGGAUUUCAUAGAUCCAAUUGUGUCCAAGGCGGCCCCUGCAAGCGUCCCGUCAGCAGGAACAGUGUCCCUGUCUCAUUUUGAAUCGUCAGAAAAGCCACGCAUUUGGUCGUUGGCCCGUACUGCAGCUUCAGGGGUUAUAUUAAAUCCCCAGCAGCAUGGUUCGGAGCUAAGGACAGGAAGCCUAACUGGGGACUGUCAACUAGAGAGCAGCAGACUUCCCAGGGCUCCUACUGGGCAAUGUGGAGCCACAAGAGGCCUGCUUGAGUCUAACGGUGUCACAAAUUCAGGAAGCUCUUUCCCUGAGGGCUCAUCCUUGCACUCAAAAGUUUACGGCACAGGCAGCUACAGCCACAAAGGCCUCCAACUUCACAGCUCGUCUUACGCUGCCCUUCCAGAUACCUGUCAGUACACAGCAAUCGAAGAAAACAACACUUUCCCAACCUGAAGCAACUUUCUUGAGGUGUGCUUUUACUUGGACACGCAGGAUUCUCCAGUGGCAAGGUAGAGAAUCAGUCGUCUGACCUCAGCGAAGCCUGUGGGACUGUGCAGAACGACAAGGUCACUGCAUUCAGACCAGUCAUGAAGAGGUGAAGCAGAUUUCUGGGGCUUGUCUAACAACAGCUAAAUGGGACAUUUAUUAUGCACUAACAGACACACUGACCAUGUGGCGGCCUGAGUGUGAGCUGCCUGGUUCUGUUGCAGUGAGAACUAUCAAACUGUGGACUCGACUAUCAUUUUGCACAACAUUGUUUUUUUAUGGUGAUAAAAAGAUUUUAUGCAAAAAAUAUUUCUAGAUGCAAAGUGUAAGAGCAAUGGCCCAAAAUGAAAUGGGCUGAAUUUGUGUAUGGCAAUCGUGUAGUGUAGCAUAACUUAUUUAUUUCUCUGUGUAUUUAACAUUUUUGUUAUGUCAACAUUUUUGGAUUAUUAUUUAUGUUUAUGAGUCAGGUGUGUCUUCUUUUUUUCUUCCUUUUUGAAAUGAUGUUUUUUUGUGUGUAUUGUGUGAUUUUUGCCUGAUGUAACAGAGGGAAUCUUCCUGGAAUUAGUGAUUACGAUUGGAUCUACUGUUUUGCGCUUAAUUUGGAUGUAUUUUUAUUUAAGUUUUUUGUCACUGUGUUGAACUGUGCGCCCUCCCUCUGUUCGCCUUUCGGGACAUUUUCAAUAAAUUUUUUCUUUUCCAAAC